GUUUGAUCAUGGCUCAGAUCGAACGCUGGCGGCGUGGCUAAGGCAUGCAAGUCGAACGGACAUGGUUUUUGGGUAACCGAGUUCCAUGUUAGUGGCGAACGGGUGAGGAAUACAUGGAUAACGUACCCUGGACUCGGGGAUAGCGGCGGAACUUCGGUUCCUUUGCGAAAGCGCCGGUAAUACCCGAUGACCCCGCGGAAUCGCAUGAUUCUGCGGGCAAAGCUCCGGCGGUCCGGGAGCGGUCCAUGUCCUAUCAGCUUGUUGGUGGGGUAACGGCCCACCAAGGCAACGACGGGUACCGGGCGUGAGAGCGUGACCCGGCACAUCGGAACUGAGACACGGUCCGGACACCUACGGGUGGCUGCAGCAACGAAUAUUCCGCAAUGGACGAAAGUCUGACGGAGCGACGCCGCGUGCAGGAAGAAGUCCUUCGGGAUGUAAACUGCUGUCAGGGGCUAGAAAGAUCUGAUCAGCCCCAGAGGAAGUCUCGGCUAACUACGUGCCAGCAGCCGCGGUAAUACGUAGGAGGCGAGCGUUGUUCGGAAUCAUUGGGCUUAAAGAGCGUGUAGGCGGACUGUCAGGUGCCUUGUGAAAGCCCCGGGCUCAACCCGGGAAUUGCUGGGCAAACCGGCAGUCUUGAGGCAGGUAGAGGUCAUUGGAACGACUGGUGGAGCGGUGAAAUGCGUAGAUAUCAGUUGGAACGCCGGAGGCGAAAGCGGGUGGCUGGACCUGUCCUGACGCUGAGACGCGAAAGCGUGGGUAGCAAACAGGAUUAGAUACCCUGGUAGUCCACGCCGU
rnacentral:rRNA from 1 species